rnacentral:rRNA from 1 species
UACGUAGGGGGCGAGCGUUGUCCGGAGUUACUGGGCGUAAAGCGCACGCAGGCGGUCUGCCAAGUUUGGAGUGACAGUUGGUGGCUUAACUGCCAAAGUGCUUCGAAAACUGACAGACUUGAGGGCUUCAGAGGGACACGGAAUUCCGGGUGGAGUGGUGAAAUGCGUAGAGAUCCGGAGGAACACCAAAGGCGAAGGCAGUGUCCUGGGGGGUACCUGACGCUCAGGUGCGAAAGCCAGGGGAGCGAACGGG